rnacentral:rRNA from 1 species
UAACACAUGCAAGUCGAACGGGAAAGCCCCCUUCGGGGGGUGAGUAUAGUGGCAGACGGGUGAGUAAUAGGUGGAUAACCUGCCCUCGAGUUGGGAAUAACUUAGCGAAAGCUGGGCUAAUUCCGAAUGAUGUUGCGUCUCUUUGAAGGUCGCAACCAAAGAUGGCCUCUGUAUACAUGCUUUCGCUCGAGGAGGGGUUCACCUCCCAUUAGCUUGUUGGUGAGGUAAAGGCUCACCAAGGCUGCGAUGGGUAGCCGGCCUGAGAGGGUGAUCGGC